ACAUAUUUGUUCUUGAAUUUCAUAUUGAAGAUCAUUUAUGAUUCUUGCUAUCAAUUCUCAGGUGAUAAUGGUAUGUCCUCAUACAUGACACUGCUCAAUGGAUCCUGAAAGCAAGAAUUUUGGAAGAGGUAAUCUUGAAGAUCAAAUACUUUCUUUUUUUGCACAUCCUAUUCAGUUAAAACAAUGUCAAUAAAGGCCAAGAAUACAUUGAUACUAUAAUCACUACAACAAAAAAUUCACAAUAAUGGAACAAUUGUGAAACUUUGUUACUAAUUAAUAAAAUUGUUUGUUACUUUAUUACACAAGUAACUAUCUGCAUUGUGAUGUGUUGGUAAUCUAGGACCAAGGGAGCUCACUGACAUCACAAUCUGAAAUUUCAGCUCAUGUCAAGAUUUAUUUUUUUGGAGGAUGGAAUGGAAAAGGUAAUGGAAUGAGUUAUUCCAUUCCAUUUCUUCCCUGAUUCCAUCAUUACCAAAGACUGAUUCCAUCGAAUUGCUAUCACUAUUUCUUUCUUUUUUAUCAUUCUCUUGUAAUCUGUGUGUUUUCGUUCAUUAAUCCCAGAAGAAUUGUUAUCCCAUCAGUUUGUGGUGUUAUUUUUAUCUUGAGGGAAUUUGAGUUCAUAACAGUGUCACAUAAUUCACAUUAAUCUUGAUGCAAAAUACAACAUGCAAAAGUUGUAAUAAAUGUUGAUCUGUAUCCAAAUUCCACCAUCAGUAGUAACCAACAUGACCAAAAGUAAAAUGACUAUAUCCAAACAACAUUUAUUUGUAUGAAAGAUCUGGUAUGUAAUGACAUAUUUACCCCUGAUUAAGUAACAAAUGGUGAUGUUGAACUACUCCAUGACUCAAAAUUCUAUCAAAAUUACUAUAAGAAUUUUUUGAGACUGUUGAUCCGGAAUCCUCAAAGGAAGAUAUGCCAAAAUGACCAUAUUGUCCUUUUUAAUUCUCUAUUAAUCCUUCUUUGAUGUACCUGAAAGAAAGUGAGCAAACCAAACCAUGAAUGAAAGGGCAUUUUGGUCAUUUGAUCAACACUCAACUCAAGACAUUUUUAAUGAAUCCAUUAGUGGCAUUACACUAGGAAAGUUUGAUAUUGGAUAAACUGGCCAACAAUGCGCUGACUUCUACAAGUUUGCACAUGUCAACGGGGGCAAGAAUUAAAAAAGGGAAUCUGGUCUCGGUGAGUUAGAUGUUGAUAUAUUGAAAUUGAUUGGUAUGAACUUAGUACCCAAGGAUUGUCAAGUAAUAUUUUUCAUUCCAAUGCUCAUGUUAAUUACAAUUGAUUUUAACAAGAGGGUGUUUGAAUUUUAAGAUUUCGAGGUAAUCUGGUUAAAAUUAAACAAUAAGUUUUCAAAAUAGAGAUCCUACCAUUUGAUUUUGCAUCUCGAUCACAAACGCUCCCUUAUCCAUCGUGAAACAGUUGUAGUUCCUUUGUAUUUCUGUAUGUGUUUGUCUGUUGCAAAAACAGAAAUCAAAGCUCUUGUCGUAUGAUGAUGAUGGUUUGAUGGUGGGUUGGUUAAAUUAUUGGAGGUGCGAGGCCAGGCUGGCCGGUGAUGAUGGUGUUGCCACAGGGGAGAUAGAGAUGAAGGGCCGAUUAGCGGUGUAGAGAUGGAGGAAGGGUGGUGUUAAGGUGUUCGGUUGGGAGGAGAAGUGUGUGAGGAGGAAGCUGAGUACUUGUUCAGCGUAUUCAAUUUAGGUAUUGAGUCGUACUUUAUUUCAAAAUGGGGCGUAUUUUAUUUAGGUAUUUGAUCUUGUUUCUAGUACAACUCAUUAACCGUAUUAGAUGUUGUAAUUGGGCGUAUUAUAUUUAUUUAGCCCUUUCUAAUACGGUUUUUAUUUACAACCGUAUUAGAUAUGGGUGUAUUGUAUAGCCUGUUUUCCAGUAGUGACAAAUGUCAAUUAAUCUAAAGUUUAACUUUAUAUGAUUACUAAGCAAACAUUACUAACGAAAAAGCAGAAAGAAUUUAUUCAUGGUAUUGUAAUCGUUCCAAAAGAAUCAAGCUUUGUCAUUU
rnacentral:lncRNA from 1 species